rnacentral:ncRNA from 1 species
CCCGGAGUGCCACCGGCUUUAACAGAGACUUGUGGCAGUGUGGUUUGUAAAUUCAGCAAUCCACCGGUAGCGUAAUGAAUCGUGAAGACCCCCGUUGAUAAGGAAUAAGGGCAGGUCACGUUGCUAUUGGUUAUCUAUACCAGUCUGCUUGGUUGCCCGGAGCUAUAAAAAAGUCUCCUUCAACGAAGCAUUCAUCUCCAGUGAUUGCUCUAAGC